rnacentral:lncRNA from 1 species
UGAUUCUGAGCCUGAGAUCCUGAAAAUAUUUCAGUUGUUGUUAAGAGGCUGGAGUUAGGACCCAGGAAGGACACAGCAGUGGGGAUAUAAAUAGAGAAGGAGAACAGAACAAGGUUUGAGGAGAGAGACUUACAUCACUCACUCCCUCUCCACCCAGAGAGCAGGACGGAGGUGUGAACUUGAGCCAGACCAGAAGGAGCUCCAGAGUGGCCGCAGGACAAGUCCGAGGAGCAGGCGGGUGCUCCAGGGAAAAACCACACACAAAACCUUCUUCGGAGAAAAGGGAAGCAGCAAACCUGACUGAGACAAACGGAGGCUUUUGAAAUAAAAAGAAAACACCGCAGGACGAACAGCCUCCCGUCCCAGGCGCAGGUCGCAGUCACAGUGGUGACCUGGGAUUGCUUUCCCGGGACUGUGAGUCGGGUUUGGGUUUCUCCUCCCUGCAUUCCACAGCUGCUCUGGUCAUCGCAGCGUGUUUAUUGAUCACUGAAGAAUCUCAAGUUUUGAGACAAGGAAGAAACACCCAUUAGAUCUCCAAAACAGCUGCGUUUCACAAACUUUAAGGAGACAGAACUUUUUUUUUUCUCCCUGGAACCUGUGAAAAUGUCCCUUUUCCAAGGAAGUGAAGGUUAAGAGGUCCCGUUCUCACAGACCCUCAGGAAUUUCACUUGGCUCUGAGCUUUGACCUCCCAGAAAGCCAUGGCAAAGCUGCUGCGGCUGUGCUGCUGGUACUCCCGCCUGCUGCUAUUUUAUUACAACUUUCAGGUAAUGUCCCCAAGUGGCCAGGAUGGAGACGGGCUCGGUUUCUCCGGAGGCUUUCCCUGAGCGUCUCUCACACUGUGGUCUUUUGUGUGCAGGUGCGUGGCGUCUACUCCAGAUCGCAGGACCAUCCAGGAUUUCAGGUCUUGGCGUCUGCUUCCCAUUACUGGCCACUGGAGAAUGUGGAUGGGAUCCAUGAACUUCAGGAUACAACUGGAGAUAUUGUGGAAGGGAAGGUCAACAAAGGCAUUUACCUGAAAGAGGAAAAGGGAGUCACGCUUCUCUAUUAUGGCAGGUACAACAGCUCCUGCAUUAGCAAGCCAGAGCAGUGUGGCCCUGAAGGUGAGUAGCUGAUCCCUGCGGCGUCUUUGUCAUGCAUUUCAUUAUCAGGGAGCACCUGCUCCUC